UAGAGGAAGUAAAAGUCGUAACAAGGUUUCCGUAGGUGAACCUGCGGAAGGAUCAUUACUGAAUUGUCAAACGGGUUGUUGCUGGCCCUCAUAGGGGGCAUGUGCACGCUCUGUUUACACAUCCACUCACACCUGUGCACCCUCUGUAGUUCUAUGGUCUGGGGGACCCUGUCUUCCUUCUGUGGUUCUACGUCUUUACACACACACUGUAAUAAAGUUUUAUGGAAUGUACAUCGCGUCUAACGCAAUACAAUACAACUUUCAGCAACGGAUCUCUUGGCUCUCGCAUCGAUGAAGAACGCAGCGAAAUGCGAUAAGUAAUGUGAAUUGCAGAAUUCAGUGAAUCAUCGAAUCUUUGAACGCACCUUGCGCCCCUUGGCUAUUCCGAGGGGCAUGCCUGUUUGAGUAUCAUGAACACCUCAACUCUCAUGGUUUGCCAUGAUGAGUUGGACUCUGGGGGUUUUGCUGGCCUGUGGUCGGCUCCUCUCAAAUUAAUCAGCCUCCCAGUGUUUGGUGGCAUCACGGGUGUGAUAAAUAUCUACGCUCGCUGUUGUCUGCCAGGUAACCUUUGGUCACAAAGGUUUGCUGGAGCUCACAGAUGUCUCUCCUCAGCGAGGAC
rnacentral:misc_RNA from 1 species